rnacentral:miRNA from 5 species
GGCUUCUUUACAGUGCUGCCUUG